CCCCUGCGCAGCCACCCCGAGAGCCCGCAUCAUGGAUGUCGAGCUCUCCUAUUUCGCUUUGCUCGCCUUGGAAUUCGAGACCCCAGACGAGGACCAGGAUUCAUGAACCGGUCGCAGGGGCCCGGGCAGGGGCCUCUGGCUCCCGACGCUGGCCGAGAGGUGAUGAGUGAGGUCGGAAGAUCGCAAGAUCUAAAAAGCAUCUGGAGUCUCCGUAUUGAAAGACCCAGUGCAAAGGCAUCACCAUGAACACGAGCAUUCCUUAUCAGCAGAACCCUUACAAUCCCCGGGGCAGCUCCAGUGUCAUCCAGUGCUAUCGAUGUGGAGACACCUGCAAAGGGGAGGUGGUUCGCGUCCACAAUAACCAUUUCCACAUCAGAUGCUUCACCUGUCAAGUGUGUGGCUGUGGCCUGGCUCAGUCAGGCUUCUUCUUCAAGAACCAGGAGUACAUCUGCACCCAGGACUACCAGCAACUCUACGGCACUCGCUGUGACAGCUGCCGGGACUUUAUCACGGGCGAGGUCAUCUCUGCGCUGGGCCGCACCUACCACCCCAAGUGCUUCGUGUGCAGCUUGUGCAGGAAGCCUUUCCCCAUUGGAGACAAGGUGACCUUCAGCGGGAAGGAAUGUUUGUGUCAGACAUGCUCCCAGUCCAUGACGAGCAGUAAGCCCAUCAAGAUCCGUGGACCAAGCCACUGCGCUGGGUGCAAGGAGGAGAUCAAGCAUGGCCAGUCGCUCCUGGCUCUGGACAAGCAGUGGCACGUCAGCUGCUUCAAAUGCCAGACCUGCAGCAUCAUCCUCACCGGGGAGUACAUCAGCAAGGAUGGCGUUCCAUACUGCGAGUCUGACUACCACUCCCAGUUUGGCAUUAAGUGCGAGACUUGUGACCGAUACAUCAGCGGCAGGGUCUUGGAGGCAGGAGGGAAGCACUACCACCCAACCUGUGCCAGAUGUGUACGCUGCCACCAGAUGUUCACCGAAGGAGAGGAGAUGUACCUCACAGGCUCUGAGGUUUGGCACCCCAUCUGCAAACAGGCAGCCCGGGCAGAGAAGAAGUUAAAGCAUAGGCGGACGUCUGAAACUUCCAUCUCACCCCCUGGAUCUAGCAUCGGGUCACCCAACCGAGUCAUCUGCGACAUCUAUGAGAACCUGGACCUCCGGCAGAGACGGGCCUCCAGCCCGGGAUACAUCGACUCCCCCACCUACGGCCGGCAGGGCAUGUCCCCCACCUUCUCCCGCUCACCUCAUCACUAUUACCGCUCCGGGCCCGAGAGUGGCCGGAGCUCUCCAUACCAUAGCCAGUUAGAUGUGAGGUCCUCCACUCCGACCUCUUACCAGGCUCCCAAGCACUUUCACAUCCCAGCUGGAGAAAGUAACAUCUACCGGAAACCCCCGAUCUACAAACGGCAUGGUGAUUUGUCGACAGCAACCAAGAGCAAAACAAGUGAAGACAUCAGCCAGGCCUCCAAGUACAGUCCAGCCUACUCGCCAGACCCCUACUAUGCUGCGGAGUCUGAGUACUGGACCUACCACGGGUCCCCCAAAGUGCCCCGAGCCAGAAGGUUCUCGUCUGGAGGAGAGGAGGACGAUUUUGACCGCAGCAUGCACAAGCUCCAGAGUGGAAUUGGCCGACUAAUUCUGAAGGAAGAGAUGAAGGCCCGGUCCAGUUCCUACGCGGAUCCCUGGACCCCACCCCGGAGCUCCACCAGCAGCCGAGAGGCCCUGCACACAGCUGGCUAUGAUAUGUCCCUAAAUGGCUCCCCUCGGUCCCACUACCUGGCUGACAGCGACCCCCUCAUCUCCAAAUCUGCCUCCCUGCCUGCCUACAGAAGAAACGGGCUGCACAGGACACCCAGCGCAGACCUAUUCCAUUACGACAGCAUGAACGCUGUCAACUGGGGCAUGCGAGGUGAGUGCCGGCCUCUCCUGGGACUUCACAGGGACCUCAUUAUAAUGCGCUGCUCAUAAUAGCCCCUUUGACAAAUGAUUCUGGUCCCACGCUGGGCUCUGUGCAAACCCCGAGUUCCCUUUCACUUCCCAUUCCCUCCCUUUUCCCCUGCUCUUCUCUCAUCCUCUCAAGUCCCGGGCCUUGGGUGAUCUCCAGGCCAUCUGUCCCAUCUGGAUUCCCAGAGCCAUCACAGAGUGCUUGCUAUUCUCCCAGUACUGCUGAGCUAGAGUUGCCUGCCAGCCCCGGGUGGAGGGAAAUACUCAGAGCCAAAUGCACAUUGUUCCCAGAAAAAAUUCCAUGAGCCUCAUGCUCUCUUCCCGUGAUGCUCUCCCACCAGCCUCUUCCAGCUCCUACAAGCAGGCUCAGGCAGGAAGGCAGGCCCACAGCAAACCCUGGAGGAUUCCCCCCAGAAGAUGAAGGAUCUCACCCAUGUGCUUCAUGGUCCCAGACUCUUCUUGUUUCUAUUAUAAAUGUCUCAAAAGUCAUUUUCCCCCUAAAAACCUAUCUCUGGAUCAGCCCAACCCCUUUCUCCAUUGUGUUCAAACCAGCCUUGAUUUGGGAUGAAUUCAAUAAGGACAGGGUCUCUAUGACAGAGGCCAGUGUAGUGAUGCAAAGCAAAGACUGAUGGUUGCUACUUUGUGUGUGUCUCUUUUCUCUCUACAGAGUACAAGGUAAAGAUACACAGACCCUGGGGGUCUCCGGGACCCUGCAUGUUGCUACACUGGGGACCAGCAGGAAGAUGACAGCACUGUCUAUGCCGGGAAGGGAACAUCGAUAAAUAACCCCAAGGGUCCUCUCAAGACUAGUAUUUCCAGUCCCUCCUUGGCUCAGUUUCCCUGAAUCCUGCCCUACAUCUCUUGCCUCCUGAAACCAGACAGUUCCCCCGGGCCUCGGAGACUCUCUAGAGGCUUGCCAAUCACAGAUAUGAGACAUUUACACUCAGGAGCCCUUGUGCUCACAUUAAGGCCAAAUGCAACCAAGCGCAUCCCUGGCAGUAUUCAAGGACUCCAGGGCCUUGCCUUUUGGGAGAAGGUGCCUUGAGGCUGCCAGGAAACCCCAAAGAGGACAUACUCGGCCCUUCCUCCAGACUUUAAUCUCUGGCUCUUUCUGGACAGAGGAGGGAGCCCCAGCCAGACACAAAAUAUGUCUGAAGGGACAAGCCCGCCACCCUAACCCAACCUACAAAUAUCCCCCCUCCUCUCUUCUUAGAUCUACCCUUAUGAACUGCUCCUGGUGACCACAAGAGGGAGAAACCGACUGCCCAAGGAUGUGGAUCGGACGCGUUUAGAGCGCCACCUGUCCCAGGAAGAGUUCUACCAAGUCUUCGGCAUGACCAUCUCCGAGUUUGACCGGCUGGCCCUCUGGAAGAGGAAUGAACUGAAGAAGCAAGCCCGGCUGUUCUAGGCAGAAGCUCUAUAAAUAUAUAUGCAUUUAUAUAAAGAUAUAUGUAAAAUCUCUAUACUGAAGCUCGGUAUAAUCCUCUCUUGUGUAAUGGGACACACUGCCUGCCAUGAGACUUGCUUUUCUGUAUCGUCAGGCAAGCCCACAUCUUCAAGAUAUUUUUAUGCUCCUUCCUUUCUCUUUUCUAAGUGCAAUGGGAUUUGGGAAGGGAUUCGUGGGGACUCCCAUCCUUUUACUGGGAAGCCUUUUUAUACUGAAACAUCUCUCCUGACUUGAGUCCCCUAAGGUCCAACUCUCUUUGCUAAAGGAGGUGCCUGAAGGAGUCUCUCUUCUCUCUGCUUCUCGGCUCUUUUCCCCAGUCUCCAGGGAGGAUGCUGCAGUUUUCACACCUUAUUGGCCCCAGAGGGGCCCUCUCAUGGGAGGAUCCACAGCAUUCUCCCCAAGUCACUGAGCACCUUUGAAAGCCCUGAAGAAUUUUCUCAUCACCCCCGCUAGGACCUCAAUGCUGUCUGGGGGUGAUGCAGCUAGAAAUGUGGGUUUCAUGUCUACUCGUUACAGAAGUAAACAAGUGGAUAGGGCCUUGGCCUCUCCUCUCCUCUUCAAUCCUCCUUCUAUCCUUGAUCCUCACCUCUCUCUAAUCCAAAUCUACGCCUCAUGGUAGGAAAAGAAAAAGCACUUCCCUUCCCUGCACUAUUACUUCCAAUGGCCCCCUUCCUGGCCCCUAUGUGGAGACCCAGAGGGAGGGAGCAGGAGCUGGAAGCAGGAGACAGAGCAGGGCACCCGUUAGCAUUGGAGCUGCAGGACCUCUUGGGACCCUCCCUCAUUGCUCCCAGAACCUCCUGACCCUUCCCCCUUUGGAGGAGAGGCCCAUUAUUGCAGCCUGUAUUUUUCAGCCUUACUACAAUCUAUGUGCCUGACAACUCACCACAGGGCUAAUGUUCCCACCACAGCUCCAACCGAACAACUAGACAGACAACCUCUAACACCCCUGCCAAAGGUAAUAUAGGCCAUGUCCUAUAGAAAGUUUCCUGGCCUAUGUCUUCUGGUCCCUGGGCUGGCAGAGCAACCCAACCAGACCCCCACCAGUCCUCAGCUUGCAUUGCAAAGUUGGCCAUGGUUCAUGGGGGAAACUUUUGAAGAAUGACUACUUAUGAGAUUCCAAAAUGGAGCACUGGCCAACACCACUCAUGGUCAUACUGAUUUCCCCAGUGGCUGCCUUUCCUGCCUCCUUGGCUUCUGGAACAGGGGUGAAAGCUUAACCUUCUCCCCACCCCAAACCUGCAACCACGAGUUGGUGAUGUCUGGUGGGGUCUGUUCCUUCCUGGAGAUGGCUGGAGUCAGACCACUGAGGUCAUGGAGGAAGGAUGAAGAAGUGGAGAUGACAGUUAUCACUCUCAAGAGGUUAUGUGUGGUGGCAAAUGUAGAACUGACUUCAACUCAACAAACCCUCACUGAGCACCUGCUGUAUACUGAGCACCUGCUGUAUACUGAGCACUAAAUGGGGGAGGGAGACGGAAAUACUGGGAUGAGCAGCAUUGGGCCCGACCUCAGGGGCAUGCCUACUAACAAUGGGUACCGUAAGGCAGGUACUCAAACAUGAUGGAUGUGAGGCAGAAAGUGAUAGGAGACAGCAUGAGAAAAUGUGACAUUACUAAGAAGGCAUAUGCAGCUGGUGCAGACCAAGGAAAGCUUUCUGGAAGAGACUGCAUUUGAGCAAAGUUCAGGAAGGAUCUUUGUAAACUGGGAGGAGACUGUAACUUGAAAGGGUGAUAGGAUGAGGGGCCAUAAGGGAGGUCUAAUAUGCUCUCACUUAAAAUGUCAGCCCUCUCUGCGUCUUUUCUUUUUGGCCAAUGUCUUUCAACUGUCCUGACCCCUUUGGAAAUGUCCCCAGCCAGACACAAUCAUUGAAACUGCCUCAUUAUCACUGGUUGAGAACUUGGCGAGAUUGAAGGGCUUUUGUUAUUGUUGGAUUUUUUUUUCCCAUAAAUGCACAUAAUUUCAACCCAGA